AGUACAUGAUUUUGCUAUUCCAAAAUACACGGGCACUUUGCAAUACAACAUUGGUCACUGUGUGAGUGGAUUAUUCCCCAUUUUUCAUGCAGGAGGCAGUUUAUGGUUUCUGAAAGGCAUAUUGUAGGGAUGAAUAUGUUUAAGAUUGAAGAAGAGAUUAGAGUUUUUGGUUUAUUAAAACCCUUCAAGGACUGCCAAGGGCAGCUGUCAACAUUAAAAAUUGAAUUAUUUUCAUUAAAAAGAUAGAACGGGAGAGUUUAGCACACGUUACUAGUAUAAUAUAUAUUCACAAUAGGUACGCACACGAGCCUUUAUUGCUGAGAUGUUUUGCCAGUCUGAUGUAGCUGUCUCUUUUUUUAUGCCUAAGUGAUCCCAUCAAUCAACACGUGAGUGAGGAUGCAGCAGAGAGGAGUGAAAGCUCAUGGUUCUCAUACUGAUGCUGUUCUUUUGUUUUUUGUUAUUUUUUUAUUUUGCUAUUUUAUUUUUCCCCAUCUACACCUUUUCUCAAGCAUCUGUUUUCAUCUCUCUUCAAACUCACUUCCACACAAGGGAAUUAAUUUUUCUGUAAGGUCAAAUAUGAGAUAUGUGAGACUGAAUUAUUGACGCAUUUCUGCCUCGCCUGUCCUUUUCCCAGAAGAAGGGUUUGCACAAAUUCCAUCUAAUGCUUCAUGGCACUAACUUUGCGCACAGAUUUCCUCCGCACAUGCUCUUUUGUUUUGGAUUUAUGCAACUUUGAUGGUGUUUAAACUGUUUUACAACGUAAGAUCAGAUGUGAGAUUUAUUCAUAUUUAACAGCUGUAGUAAAUAUGAAUACCAGAGCUGGGAUUGUAAGCUUGUGCGUAACUGUAGAAAAAACAAAGAGUAAGAAACAGUAAUUAACCCCCUGUGUGUUGUUUCAAGUCAAGUGGAAUGUUUUUCAGCAGCGGUGUUUAGUUUGGAUGCUCGGUUGAAAAUGUGGAAUUUUUUCCGUAAUCAUUUUUAUUCGAGGCAUGAUUAAACACAGAGUGAUAUUUCACCCAGGUUUACAUGAUCCAAAGCUAGAAAAUCUAUUCAGGUCAUUGCUAUGUUUUUUAGCACAAACUGUGGAAAACAGAAGAGAGAUAUAAAAAUCAGCCAUGGGUCUGCUUUCUGUCCCUCGCACUAACCUCCAUACCUUUGGGGACACAACCUUCAGUGUGGCGGCCCCCACUUUCUGGUACUUUCUCCCAUAUGAUCUUCCCAAUGCCACGUCAC
ensembl:lncRNA